CACGUAGGCACCAAGCGUUAUCCGGAUUUAUUGGGCGUAAAGAGCUCGUAGGCGGCUUGUUGCGUCGACCGUGAAAACCCGGGGCUCAACUUCGGGCUUGCGGUCGAUACGGGCGGGCUAGAGUUCGGUAGGGGAGACUGGAAUUCCUGGUGUAGCGGUGAAAUGCGCAGAUAUCAGGAGGAACACCGGUGGCGAAGGCGGGUCUCUGGGCCGAUACUGACGCUGAGGAGCGAAAGCGUGGGGAGCGAACAGG
rnacentral:rRNA from 1 species